ensembl:lncRNA
CUUCAAUAAAACUCUUUAAGACCCACAGACCUCACACAUGGGUAAUCCAAGAGGCAGCUAGUCAGAAGAGAACUAAGAAAGGAUGCAGCUGAGUACAACAGCAGGAUGUGUUCCUGCUGUUUUGAUUUGGGUCAUGUCACCCACGAGACACACUGUAAGGAUUUCUCCUGCACAGGAUUAGAAGACUGUCAGAGAGAAUUGAAUCUAGUCUUUCCCGUUCUUUUUAGAAUAAAUACACUUAAGCUUUAGAAACAGAGUCCAUUUAAAUUAAAUUAUUAAAUAAGUAAUAGUGUGUAGGAGGUACCCCAACAACAGGAAGACUGUGAAAGUGGCCAGAAUCUAAAAGACGCUGCUGGGAAUCAUUGAUAGAGGUCGUACUUCUUCAGCACAGAUGGGGAAACUGCAUCACCAAUCAGACAGUGUCCCCCAAGUGUCCAAAGCUAGCUAUCAAGCUAGUGACAGCUCUAGAUUUCCUCUCUGUUCUAGAUUUACUCCUCUGUUCUCUGGACCUCAGUUUUGGCAUCUGUCAAAUGGAUUGUUAUGAAACACAAGUAGCAUGAGACAUGUAGAACGGCUCUGAAUUCAGAAUACAGAGGCAACCUGCAGGUUCACUAGGAAGGUAAGCGGCCGAGGGCCCCACACAGAAGAUGGCCUGUUCCUGGUGGUGUUUAUAAAGGCCCCUCACAUUCCCUACCUUGUCGUCCUGGCUUCCCAGAGGGUCAGAGCCAAGCUGACAUGCAGUUCAUGAGUCUGUUCAACUUGAGAUCAGAUGGACACAGAAACACAGGGGAAGCCAAAUCGCAUGUUUAAACAGUUAAGAGGAAACCAGACUCAGCAAGGAACUGCAACACUGGAUUUAGCUGGGUUCCUGCCAAUCACCAAAUUGCUCCAUAGGAAUUAAUUUUCCAGAAAGGGAAACCCAUGUUGGGGGUUGGGCCGAGCAGUUGAGAUGCGGAGGGGGGAUAAAGGAAUAGAGAGAAGUAAAGUCACAGAAAGAGAAGAAAAUAACUACGGUGGCACAGGCAGAGAGGAAGAACAAAGCAGCAAACAGAACAAAAAAAAAAAAAAGAAAGAAAGAAAAUUAAAAAAAGAAGAAGAAAAGAAAGGAAAUAAAACCAGAGAAAUUGCUCAGAUUUGUAACUCUGGACUGAUAGAAAC